UUUAUCGAUACAUAUCUCAAAUUUCAUCACCUCCUUUGAAUGUCUCGUAGUUUCUUCUUUACUGUUCUUCCCUCAGAUCUUGUUGCCGCAGAAUCAUACUUCCAUUCCUUCAAAUCCACUCAGAGCUUGGUUUCAAGACUGGAAAAUUAAGUUCGGCAGCAGGACAUUCCAAUUUAAGGGAUUACAAAGACAUAUUUCUUGAAGAGAUAGAUCCAAUGGAUGAAUGGGUUGGCGGAGGAGACGUUGAAAGAGUAAGCAGCUCAACUAAAUGGUGAUUAAAUUAAGGAUCUGUGAUUAAAGAGAUCAGUUCCUGUUAACUCAUAAUGCAACAAAACUUAACAUGUCGGAAGUUCUUUUUGCCGGAGACUCUGAAAGAGAUCAGUUCUGUCGGUUUUCACCCGGCCUUGGUUUGUGGAGUCACCUCCCUCACGGUCUCUUUUUAGCUGUUGUAAGACUCGAAACAGUCCUUUACCUUUUUUUGGCUGAUGGGCUAUCUCUGUUUGCUAGAACAGGCAUUAACUUCGAACGAUUUUUUGGGGAUCAUGAUUUUUCUUAGGGACCAUGGUUUUAUUUUGGGUAAAGACAUUAGAAGUAAGUCAAGGUCACCCCUUAUCUAGAUAUUUAUAUUAAUACCUAA